rnacentral:sRNA from 1 species
UGAUAUAGAGUAACGACAAUUUGCUGAU